UAAGAUAAAAUUAACUGUCUUCCACAAAGUAUGUAGUCUUUCAAAUCAAAUGUCAUGAUAACUUUCAAACAUUAGUAGUUUUAUAUAUUAUAUAUUUCUUGCAAGCCCAUUCUCUGGAACUCCUGAGUACUAGUUGGAAAAGCUCUGUAACAUGCACUAAGACCACCUCUCAUCACUUUAAUAACACCAUUAAUUUAGAUAUCUUUAUAACAGCUGGGAUGCAAACAGGUACAACUCAAACAUCUGGAAUUCAAUACCCCAUUAGUUUGCCUUAUCUAUUCAGCUAAAUCUCAGCUGUUGCCUUGGAGCUAAAUGAAAUUUCUUAAGUGUAUUUUACCAUUUCUUGCCUUCAUAGUGAAAUUCCAUUUUUUUUUUCUUUUCCUAAAUGACAAAAGCAUUUGGCAUUGAAGAUUUUGAGAUUUUUGGAUUGCAGAAGUCAGCAAUAAUUCAUGUGAAACAGACGGGAUGGUACAGCUUCAUACAACAGGAAUGCCAUAAGGAUAUAGACCAGCAACACACUGAUGAUGGCUGACAAUACUUCUGCAAACAGAAAGGAAAGAACAUCAUAAAACUCAUUCCUGGAUCUGUCAGCUCCCCUUUCACCAUAGAAAAUAGAAGAAACUAAAGAUGGAGCAUACGUAUUAUAUAUUCAGAAAGAUAAAAAGCAGUGCUUUCUGCUGGAAUUUGAAUAGGCAACCAAUAGGCCUGCUGUCUUUACAAAGCAGCAUUUAUGGUACUACUAUGACAGUUCAUGGUUCUGCAAACAAAAGUGAAAAGGAGCACUGGAAACUAUUUACUGGCACAUUUUAGUGCUUAGUGCAUGUACGGAUUACCUUAAAAUGCAAUGCAAAGCAGACUGGUUAUGAGGCAGUUCUAGUGCAUACUCCCAGCUUUAAGCAGAUGCAUGUUGUUUUCUGUGACAGAUGCUCUGUCAGUAUCCUAUUUUUAACAUGCUGUCAUGUUUUACCACCUCGUGAAAUUCGGGCUAUUGAUGAGCUCACAUUUUGUUGACAAGCUUCUUACUGUACAUGAUAUUUGGAAAAAUGUAUUACAGCAAACAUGUAGCCCAGACUCAGCACUGUUCUACUGCCAGUGUUCACUGAUGUGUGAAACUGCGCGCUCAGGCCACAACGUUCAGAAAGGGUGCCUAAAAUCAUGCAAAUAAGCUUCUCAAAAAUCCACCCAUGUACAUCAUUUUUCAACCAUCCCAUCAUCAGUAUUCACAGGGCCCAGACCAAUGUUUUGAGGGUUUCUUGCUGAAUCCUUAUCAACCUCUCCUUCCUCACUGCAGCCACAGAAGCUCUCUUCCCACUCUCACAGGCUCUAGUCCUUUUCUUCCUACACAGAUCAUUAUGCUAAUGCACUGUGUUGCUGCUAACACAGAAGGAUGAGCAGAAAGGGGCCUCCGGUCUAGUCGAGUGCCCUGCCCAAAGCAGGACCAAGAGAGCAGGCUGCUCCAGGCUGUUGGGUCUGGGUAAUCGGCUGGUGCUUGACAACCUCCUGUCACUGGGCAGCAGAAAAAGAGGAGGAAUUGCUGCAGAAGUGAGAAGUCACUCCCUCUAUUCUCCAGGGAGAAAAUGAUGGGUGAUAUAGAUACAGGCCACCACUGGAUCAAUCUGGUCAGUACUUUCUUUGGCAAUAAAAUGAAGAAAAAAGUUGGGGAUUUUUUUGCUGGUUUGUUUUUAAAGUGAGGUGGCAGAAAUCCAAAGGGACUCCUGUUUGCAGAGUGCUAUGGAGAUCCUGAAUUAGUAAGUGAAAAUUUAUAAAACUGAGUAAUAUAUGAUCAAACUUUUUUUUUUUUCCUUAAGAACCAUUUCUGUUAUAAGGCUAUGUCAUGUUCUUUCUUUAUACUAUUUGGUUUUUGAAGAGUUACAAAUACAUAAACUGCUCGGACUAUUUUUAAAUGAGGUUAAAGUAUGUCUACAUGCUAGCAAACAUCCUUGUGGAAAGCAUGAACAAAUGCCAGGGGCAUACCUGCAAGGUCAGGUUUCAGUAUUAGAGGGAACUCUCAACACAAAAUUAAAACUUCUUGAAAGAAAAGUUUGUAAUAGGAAAUGCUGGCACUGUUAAUGCUUUCUUGCUAAAGCCCAAAGAUCUUUGCUGGUGUACAGUUAUGCAUUCAUGCAUUAGUGACUAACUGAUGACAAAUGACUAGGAGUGAUGGAGUUGUUGAAUUCUACUGCUGUUCUGGCAGCCAUCAUAAGAAUUAACAGUAAUGGCAGCACAAGAGUUUGAAAUUCCUUGAAAAAAUACCAUACAGAAAGCAUAAAGGUAGCAAGCCAUAACAUCCAAAAUGAUCCAUUUCAUGCAGCGUACAUUCAAACUUUUGGAAAAAUGACUGCAAGUCAAGACCUUCACCUGUAUAUUGUAAAUUAAUUAAUUAAUAUCCAGUACAGAUGGCAACCAUGUGAAAGCACCCUUUAUCAUCAUUAAGCUUCUAAAUGUGAAGUAAUGAGUCCUGAAAUUACCCUUCCAACAUUUAGUACAUAUUUCUGCUGACGUUUCUUUUUACAAAUACCCAAAAUGGGCACAAGUUAAGUAAUUUUCUGUACUGGACAUGAAGGGACAUCUUGAUUUCUUCUUUCUGCAAGAAGCAUAGUGAUUUAUGAGACUUCUUGCAGAGCUAUCUGAUCCUGCACUCUAUGGAACUUUUUACUUCUGGGAGUUAGCUCAGGAUUAUUCAUUAAUCACGUUUCAUUGGACUUUGUUUCCAGAUGUAGCAUUUGUACUGUUCUGUUCAAAUGAUUUAUUCCCCUGUGGCAAUACAUCCCAUGUAGUGGAUACACAACAGACUGUGAAACCUAAAGUUACUUUUAGGUUUGUUACUGAUUUCUUUCCAGUUACCUCUUCUUCUAGAAUUACAUAUUUUUAGCAUUAUUGCUUAAAAUACUAGCAAAAGCUGA